rnacentral:rRNA from 1 species
CGUACACUCCUGCGGGAGGCAGCAGUGGGGAAUAUUGCACAAUGGGCGCAAGCCUGAUGCAGCCAUGCCGCGUGUAUGAAGAAGGCCUUCGGGUUGUAAAGUACUUUCAGCGGGGAGGAAGGCAAUACGGUUAAUAACCGUGUUGAUUGACGUUACCCGCAGAAGAAGCACCGGCUAACUCCGUGCCAGCAGCCGCGGUAAUACGGAGGGUGCAAGCGUUAAUCGGAAUUACUGGGCGUAAAGCGCACGCAGGCGGUCUGUCAAGUCGGAUGUGAAAUCCCCGGGCUCAACCUGGGAACUGCAUUCGAAACUGGCAGGCUUGAGUCUUGUAGAGGGGGGUAGAAUUCCAGGUGUAGCGGUGAAAUGCGUAGAGAUCUGGAGGAAUACCGGUGGCGAAGGCGGCCCCCUGGACAAAGACUGACGCUCAGGUGCGAAAGCGUGGGGAGCAAACAGGAUUAGAUACCCUUGUAGUCCC